GACGAACGCUGGCGGCGUGCCUAAUACAUGCAAGUCGAACGCAUUUUCUUUCACCGUAGCUUGCUACACCGAAAGAAAAUGAGUGGCGAACGGGUGAGUAACACGUGGGUAACCUGCCCAUCAGCGGGGGAUAACACUUGGAAACAGGUGCUAAUACCGCAUAAUUCCAUUUACUGCAUGGUAGAUGGAAGAAAGGCGCUUUUGCGUCACUGAUGGAUGGACCCGCGGUGCAUUAGCUAGUUGGUGGGGUAACGGCCUACCAAGGCUGCGAUGCAUAGCCGACCUGGGAGGGUGAUCGGCCACACUGGGACUGAGACACGGCCCAGACUCCUACGGGAGGCAGCAGUAGGGAAUCUUCGGCAAUGGACGCAAGUCUGACCGAGCAACGCCGCGUGAGUGAAGAAGGUUUUCGGAUCGUAAAACUCUGUUGUUAGAAAAGAACAAGGAUGAGAGUGGAAAGUUCAUCCCUUGACGGUAUCUAACCAGAAAGCCACGGCUAACUACGUG
rnacentral:rRNA from 1 species